UACGUAGGUGGCAAGCGUUGUCCGGAAUUAUUGGGCGUAAAGCGCACGUAGGCGGUUCGUUAAGUCGGAUGUGAAAGCCCUCGGCUCAACUGAGGAAGUGCACCCGAAACUGGCGAGCUUGAGUACGAAAGAGGAUCGCGGAAUUCCCGGUGUAGAGGUGACAUUCGUAGAUAUCGGGAGGAACACCGGCGGCGAAGGCGGCGAUCUGGGUCGAUACUGACGCUGAGGUGCGAAAGCGUGGGGAGCAAACAGG
rnacentral:rRNA from 1 species